AAUAAUUUAUUUGAUGGUCUCUUACUACAUGGAUAACUGUAGUAAUUCUAGAGCUAAUACAUGCGUAAAAUCUCGACUCUAGCGGGGAGAGAUGUAUUUAUUAGAUAAAAAACCAAUGCGGGCUUUGCCCGGUUUUGUGGUGAAUCAUAGUAACUUUUCGAAGCGCAUGGCUUCACGCCGGCGCUAGUUCAUUCAAAUUUCUGCCCUAUCAGCUUUCGACGGUAGUGUAGUGGACUACCGUGGCAUUAACGGGUAACGGAGAAUUAGGGUUCGAUUCCGGAGAGGGAGCCUGAGAAACGGCUACCACA
rnacentral:rRNA from 1 species